rnacentral:rRNA from 1 species
GACGAACGCUGGCGGCGUGCUUAACACAUGCAAGUCGAACGGAAAGGCCCUGCUUUUGUGGGGUGCUCGAGUGGCGAACGGGUGAGUAACACGUGAGUAACCUGCCCUUGACUUUGGGAUAACUUCAGGAAACUGGGGCUAAUACCGGAUAGGAGCUCCUGCUGCAUGGUGGGGGUUGGAAAGUUUCGGCGGUUGGGGAUGGUCUCGCGGCUUAUCAGCUUGUUGGUGGGGUAGUGGCUUACCAAGGCUUUGACGGGUAGCCGGCCUGAGAGGGUGACCGGCCACAUUGGGACUGAGAUACGGCCCAGACUGCUACGGGAGGAAGCAGUGGGGAAUAUUGCACAAUGGGCGGAAGCCUGAUGCAGCAACGCCGCGUGCGGGAUGACGGCCUUCGGGUUGUAAACCGCUUUCGCCUGUGACGAAGCGUGAGUGACGGUAAUGGGUAAAGAAGCACCGGCUAACUACGUG